GGAAAAGCAAAGUGAUCACUUGUGUUG
rnacentral:sRNA from 1 species